CUCCUCCCCCCGCCCCUCCCCCAGUCUGUUUCCCUCCGUUCCUGUCACUUGUGACAGGAUGAGAAGAAACGCCUUUACCAGGAACUCGGUUCUGUUUUUGUCUAAAUGUAGAUCUUGGGCUAUUAAAAAGGGAGCUGCCUGAUUGCUUCGACAUUUAAUAAGUCAAUUAGAGUCCAUCCGUUUUGGAGGGAUCCGCUCUCCGGACCUCGAGGGGUCUGCCCCGCCCGAGCCCAGUCCCCAGGUUCGGGUCCCCAAGCCCUGGUCCCCGAGGCGGGGCGGCCAGGAGGCAGGAGAUGGGCGGGUGAGGACUCUCCACGGCCCCCGAGGUGCGCACAGCUGACCACCCGAGGAGGGGCAGGACCUGCACCCCCUCCCCAGACCCCCUGCGAGAGGACGAGCGAAGGUCCCUCCCCGGCAAGGACCGCGCCAUCUGCGCGCUCCUCUGCGCUGGACCCUCGGCCCGCGGGUCCCUCGCGCCCCGGCAGGGAACGCCCGCAGGAGGGCACUUGCCUCCCGGACUCGUCUUUAAGAAAGUUUGGCUCUUUGGCCGAAGCCCGGCACAUCUGUGAAAGUUCAGCAAUUUGCCUCUUUUAUUUUAUUCUUGUAAAAUGUAUUAUCAAUCAGUUGCGCACUUUCCCAUUCGAUUGGUGCUUUCUGGGCAAGAGCUGGACGUCUUCCAAGUCCGCGAUCUGUUUGGGAAAGGUGUUCUGAGUGCAAUCAGAGAGGCGGAGUGGGCGAGAAUUAAAGGCCUGCACCAUGAUCGGGGCAGUCGCAGGACCGCGGCGGGAAGGUGCUGGCCCAGGCGCACGUGAGCGCGGGCGGUGCGGGCGGAAGGCUCCGCGCCCCGAUCCCCCAGCUCCCGGAGAGGCCCCGUCUGCGCCCGUCCCCGCGUCCUUUCUCUCUUCCUGCACGGGGUCUGUCUCCUCAGGAGGAGAAAGUGUCCGGCAGAGCUGGGCGGGGAGGCAGCGUGGAGAGAGAAGAUAUGAAAUGUGCCGGUUCCGGACCCCGCCCCACACCCUUGGGAUCUGCGUUCUCUCCGCUCCCUUGAAAAACAGAUGGUUUGAUUUCACAGCGAGGCUUUUCUUUUUCUUUUUGCAAGCUACAUGACUGAAAUGUGAACAUUUCUGCUAAAAUACACUCAGGAAAAAGUAAAAUUUUAUGUCAAACAGACCUUAGGCACAUAAAAGGAGGCAUUUUUCGUUUCUCUCUUUCCCCUUCCCAUGUCCAAGAAGACACUUGAGUUCCACGGGCAAGAGCGACGCCUGGCGAUGGAACCGGCCCUCCCCGGCCCUGCUCCCGGUCCUGCUUGCCGGGCCCACCUCGCAGCUGGUGGACACCGCAGUUCCCAGAAAAAUAGAACCAUGAGAAGAUUUUACUGUUGUAAAAUAGCUUGGUUUUUUAAUGGGACAAAUGGAUUCCUUGAAUGAGCCCUUUCUACCAUCCAAGUGUGGGCCAAGACUUCCGCCCAGGUUAGUAGAGGUUUGGUGGAUAAUCAACAGCAACAGAGCUGAUGCUUGGUUGGUCUUUGGAUUAAUGAGAUCUUACAAUUAAGAGUCAGACAAUUUAUGUGUUCAUUUAUUUUUACAAAGUUCUCUGCCAAAAUUAUCUAGGUGCUGCUCAUUUUAUAUUAUAGAAACAAUUUUUACAGACUAACAAACUUAGAGUGUACCACCGAUUUGUUAAUCUUUAUUGAAUUUUUAAGUUAAUGGUAUUGUCAAGACGAACCCCUUGGAGUUCUCCAGUCAUCAGAAAUAGGUGUGCAGUCAUCCCUUGGUAUAGCGUGGGACUGGUUCCAGCAGAUACCGAAAUCCAGGCACAUUCACGUCUCACAGUGGGGCCUGUGGAACACGCAAAUACGGAAAGUUGCCCUCCCUCUGUGUGCGUUUCGCAUCCUCCAGCUGCUGUGUUUUCGACCCACGUUUGAAAAAAAAUAUGUAAGUGGACCCCUUCAAACCCGUGCUUUUCAAGCAGGAAGCCAAAAAGAAAAGAGAUACAAUUAGCAACAAACUAUAUUCUAGAAUUACUGGAAAAAUUUUUUUCUAGAUUUGAUUUAGUUUGGUUAUCUUUUUGAGAAAACUGUGUUGGAUCAUAGGAAGAAAACCGAGCAGAGGAAAAAAACCUGUAUUUAAUCUACCCUAACAGUACUAUAUAUAGGUCCUGAGAUGGGUGAGUUGAUUUUUUCAAUUCAUAAACAGGUUAAAGUUCUGAUGUUUUGACUGCAAUCAUUUUUUUUCUUCAUCCAGAGGGUACGUAUUUAAUUUUAGAUGAAUAUUAGCUGCCCUCAAAGACUUCUAAAAUACCUGUGUUAACCACAUGCUUUAAAAUGAAUUGUUAUAUUUUUCAAUCAUUAUGGCAAUCAUUUAACAAUCUAACGAAGUUUGUAUUGUAGAAAAAAAUCACCUUUCAUAAAGGAUAACAUCAUGUACUAUAAACAAAUAUUGCUUACUGUUUAAUAUUUACCAAUUCUGCUUUUUUAAGCUAUCAAAAUGCUAUUAGUGUGCUAGGCACGUACUAGACAGUGUUUAAAGCAUUUAGGAAGACAAGCUUUCUAACAGGAUUAAUUUUCCUAGUAUAAAUGUAAUAAAUAUAGACUCUUACAAGUGAUAAUGUAUGCAUGAUAUCUGCAGCUUAUUCUAGAUCAAUGAAGUACAGCAUUCUAUGUAACACUUCUCCCCUUCUAGGGAGGAAGAAGAUGAUUCCAAAAACAUGGUCAUCCACCCCUUCCCAUUCUUCAACACUGCUUUUGCAUCUGCAGAUGCACACGGCUAUGCAUGUUCAGGAGAGAAAUUAGGUGAAAGUUGUAUUUAAAGGGUUGGGAUAAGAUAGCAUGGCUGAUUUACUUUUUUAAAAAAUUUAUUGUUCCAGGCCAAGAUAAAGAGGACUUUUCAUGGGGAAAGGCUUAAAGGAAGUAUGGACUUUACGUUGUUCCUUCAAACUGGAUUUUAGUUAUAAAUUCUGAAACCACUGUGAUGCUUACUUGCCAUUUGGAGGCACCAAUCUGACAUCUUUUGAUGGAAGUAGUAAGAAUAAAUUUGAAAGAACACACCAAUCAUCAACAUAUCAGAAAAAUAUUAUCCAUGACAAUAUUUCAACAAAAUAUAGUCAUAGAUGCUGAGUAACAACACCAAUAUAUCUGCAUUCCAUCUGUUUUCUGCAGGAAAUCAGAUAUCCUGAUCAGAAGUGACACACACAAUGAUCUAGGUUCAUCACAGAGACAUCCAAAGUGUCAUAAAGGCACCACCUACCAAAGUGGGUUGUUGUUUGUUUCUAGGAUAAGCUAAGCACAGUGAUGGGGAUGCCUCCUGGAUAGAGGGAACUGCAUAUGCAAACUUCCAAGGAGGAGGCCCCAGAACCUCUUGGAUCUGCUGGGAAGACUGGGCUGUAGGAAGAGGGUGGGAGGAACAGAUGGAGAGUCACCUCACCUGAACUCCACUUUCUUUCAAGAAUGCAGCAUAGCGGACUGCAAAGGACGUGGGCUUCAAAGCCACAGAAAUGGGCUCAGGUUCUGAUUCCUGCUCACAUCUGUGUGAACCUGGGCAAGACAACUUCUUUGAGCCCAGUUUUUUCAUGUCGGAAAUGACAGGAGUACGUACAACCUCAGAGGUUUUAUAAACAUUAAAUAAGAUAAAGUAUGUUAACUUUUUAGUAUAGUUUAAAUUUCUUUUAACUGACCAAUUAUUGCUAUUACUGCCUUUCAGAGUGUCUGCUGUCAUAAUGGCCUCUUUUUUCCUGUAUUUUAUCCCUUACAAUAUGGCAUGAAAGAGAGCAUUAUCCAAUCCUAGAGAAUGUCUGGGGCAUCAGAAUUUGGUGACUUGUUCACAGCUGCAUAGAAAAUCUAUAGUUAGAAGUGGACUGAAAUAUCCUGAAUUAGUAAGUUUCCAUGUGACCAGCACUCAGAACAGUGGGUGAGGGCUCAGUCCAGUGGAGUAGGAUUCAGACCUGUGGGUGAGGGCCCCUGCUGCUGCCCCAGGCCCAGUGCCUGUGCUGUUAGGAUGGUAUAUAAGUGUGGUUGGCUAGGAUAUACUAGGGCUAUGAAUUCAUAAGAACAGUCUAUAUUUUGCUCACCUGACCCUUCCUUAAAACCGUGGGGACAUUUCAAGACUGCUGUCUCUGAUAUUUUUGCCACUAUUAUAAUGCAGUCCAUUAGGCAAAGAGUGCUUGAGACACUGUCUUAGUCCAUGUGUGCUCCUAGAACAAUAUAUCAUACACAGGUAGUUUAUAAACAACAGGAACAUAUUCCUCACAGUUCUGGAGGCUGGCAGUCCAAUAUCAAGGCAGGCUGGGUGUUUGAUGAAGCUCCCCUUCCUCGUAGAUGGCGCUUUCUCUCUUGAGUCCUCACAGGGGCCCACCUUCCUCACAGAUGGCGCUUUCUCACUGAGUCCUCACGUGGGGCCCGCCUUCCUCAUAGAUGGCGCUUUCUCACUGAGUCCUCACACAAGGCCCCCCUUCCUCAUAGAUGGCGCUUUCUCACUGAGUCCUCACACGAGGCCCGCCUUCCUCAUAGAUGGCGCUUUCUCACUGAGUCCUCACACGAGGCCCACCUUCCUCACAGAUGGCGCUUUCUCACUGAGUCCUCACACGAGGCCCGCCUUCCUCAUAGAUGGCGCUUUCUCACUGAGUCCUCACGUGAGGCCCGCCUUCCUCAUAGAUGGCGCUUUCUCACUGAGUCCUCACACGAGGCCCACCUUCCUCACAGAUGGCGCUUUCUCACUGAGUCCUCACGUGGGGCCCGCCUUCCUCAUAGAUGGCGCUUUCUCACUGAGUCCUCACACAAGGCCCGCCUUCCUCAUAGAUGGCGCUUUCUCACUGAGUCCUCACACGAGGCCCACCUUCCUCACAGAUGGCACUUUCUCACUGAGUCCUCACGUGGGGCCCGCCUUCCUCAUAGAUGGCGCUUUCUCACUGAGUCCUCACGUGAGGCCCGCCUUCCUCAUAGAUGGCGCUUUCUCACUGAGUCCUCACACGAGGCCCACCUUCCUCACAGAUGGCGCUUUCUCACUGAGUCCUCACGUGGGGCCCGCCUUCCUCAUAGAUGGCGCUUUCUCACUGAGUCCUCACACAAGGCCCGCCUUCCUCAUAGAUGGCGCUUUCUCACUGAGUCCUCACACGAGGCCCGCCUUCCUCAUAGAUGGCACUUUCUCACUGAGUCCUCACGUGGUGGAGGGUGCAAGGGGACUCUCUGGGGUCCCUUUUCUAAGGACAAUAAUCACAUUCAUGAGGCUCCAUCCUCAGGACCCCAUCACCUCCCAAAGGCCCCACCUCCUGACACCAUCACUCUUGGGAUCAGGUUUCGGCACAAGCACUUUGGAGAGACACAGACGCUGAGACCACAGCAGACAGGCAGCACCAGUGUAAGGCAGACCAGUUACUGGCCCCGGGAGAAACGGGAGGCAGGGGUGCCCAACCGUUUGGCUUCCCUGGGCCACACUGGAAGAAGAAAGAAGAAAAAUUAUCUUGAGCCACAUGUAAAAUACACUAACACUAACAAUAGCUGAUAAGCUAUAAAAAAAAUCACCAAAGAAAUAUCAUGUUUUAAGAAAGUUUGCAAAUUCCUGUUGGGCACAUUCAAAGCUGUCCUGGGCUGCAUGUGACCCAUGGGCCAUGGGUUGGACAUGCUUGGAAAUGGACGUCAAACAGAAACAGUCUGCACCUCCAGGAAGGAAGGGAGAAUUUGUGCUGAGAACUUUUGAUUUGCUCACACAUCCCAUAGCCAUUGCUUGAGUCCUCGGGUGCUCAGGGACAGAGGGGAGAAAUUCUGUCCACAAGAAACCUGCAUUGUUUGGUGUAGUGUGUCCCGUGUGUCGUGUGCUCCUGGAGUCUGGACGGAGUGUAGGGUGUGGGGCCACUCCCUUGAGGCUGGUUUAUGGAUGAAAGGGGCAGGGAAUGCACAUGUAAAGAAGCCAAGGUGCCGGGUCACAGUGCGCUUGGAAUGUGUGAGGGUCCCUUCUGCAACAGAGUGUAGGAGAGAGAAGAGGACAAGAGGCUGUUCUCAAUGCCACUCUCAGUACUCUGAACUUCAUCCUGCAGGCAGUGGUAAAUGAUUGACAAGCCUUGAGCAGGGACCAACAUCAUCAGAUCUGUGUUUUAUGGAGGUAGCUAUGGAUGAUGGACCAAAAGGGUUUGGGGCCGUAGGCAGACAGACCAGUCCUGCCUCCUUCUGCCCACCCUCCCCCAUGGGCAGACAGGCGAGCAGGGGGCUUUCUGACCCUCCCUCCUUCCGUCAGAUGCUGUCACUAAGUAGAGAGAUGCGAAGUGUCCCCCGUGUCCAGCACUGCACCAGGUGUUGCAGGUGUGACAGUCCCUCCUGCAUGGUUCACUUGCUGCAGAAGGUAAACACCAGCAAACAGAUAACUAUAUGAAAUAGUAGGAAGUUAUAAAAAGAGCAUGGAAGAAAGAGGGAAGAAGGAAGAGAGACAAAUGCUGAGACAGAGAUGAGAUGGUGAGGGCGAAGGGGACCUACGUCUGAUAAGGUGGUUGUAGAAUCAUCUCUGAGGACAAGGUAUCAAGGUAUUUGAACUGAAACCUCAGCAUGGAUGCAGCCACAUUUAUAGUGAUGCAGGCGAAAAAAGGAGGAGGCUCAGAACUGGGGCAUGGAGAUGAGGAUGGAGAGUAGAGAAAGUCUUGGCUUCCUAAGAAAAUCAUCUUUUUUAGAAAUCACCUGUUUCAUCCUGACAUUGGCAUUCCCAGUAUGAACAUUUCUGUAAGAGCAUUUAAAAGUCCCAUUGAAAACAUAGCCGUGAUCUUGGGACCAUGUGUAGGCUCCAAAAUUUAAUUCUUUCCUCCAUUCAGCAAAAACUGACCAUGUGCCGGCCACAUCCUGAGCAUAGUUCUAGGAGCAGGCACACAUACUGCGGUGAGCAAAGUAAGUUCCUAUUACUUGGCUUAUUGAAGAUGUAACUUUAGCCUACGUGGACAAAGAAAUAGACAAUUUCUAAAAACAGAUACAAUACAAAAUGAAGCUUUAAAUAUGAGCACAACACCCUAUUCUGCUUUGACUGGGAGCUGAGAAUGACAGUUGUUAAGCCAGACUUUUUUUAUUGCUACACACGUGAACGGGAGGGCAUCUCAGAGGUGAUGCAGUGCUGACAACCAGGUGUGAUACCCUCACAUGUACAAGCACUGUGCAUUUCAGAGGUGACCUUGUGCUGACAACCAGGUGUGCUGCCCUCACCAUGUAAAAGCACUGGGCAUCUCGGGGUGACCUUGUGUUUACAACCAGAGGUACUCUCCUCACUGUGCAGUUAGGCACUGGGCGUCUUAGAGGUGACUCUGUCCUGAUAACCAGGUGUACUCUCCUCACUGUGCACAGGCUAGGGCUAGACAUGGCAGGGACCCAGGUGUGUGCAAGGUGCAGCGUUUGUGCCAUGGGGAGGACCUGCAGGUCCAUCCACCUCCCUAUUCCAGUCCUCAGAAAUGCACUAGGGCACAGUGGCAGUGGGGCAAAAAGCUCUUUGUGUGCUGUGAUGUGAACCUCAGGGUGACUCCAAACCUUAUCGUGCUCCACGUUCUCUUAGGCUGCUGUCAAUAAAUGUUUGAACAAUUUCUCGUA